GGCAUGGGAAAUUGUCAACCUUUAAAUCAGACUCGUUGUCAAAAAAUGAAUUUUUGCAAGAUCUUGACAAAGAAGAGGAAAUUGCUUAUCCCGAUUUAAGUCUCAAGAUGACAUCUAUUGAUGAAGAUAGAGAUAUUUGUCAAGCUGAAUCAUCAUCAUCAAAUUUUAAAUUAACUGAAAGUUUAGAAAUUCCAAAUAGAAAAUUUUAUGAUCUUGAUGACAGUGUAACAACAUGGUCAGAUUUUUUGAAAAUUCAUUAUCAUCCUAGAAGUUUAUGUUUUAUUGAAGAUUAUGGUUGGUAAAAUGAAUUUAA